UAUAAGGGGGUAGAGCACUGAAUGGGCUAGGGCAUACACCAAUGUACCAAACCCUAUCAAACUCCGAAUACCUUAUAUGUAAUCACAGCAGUCAGGCGGCGAGUGAUAAAAUCCGUCGUCAAGAGGGAAACAACCCAGACUACCAGCUAAGGUCCCUAAAUCUUACUUAAGUGGAAAACGAUGUGAAGUUACUUAAACAACCAGGAGGUUGGCUUAGAAGCAGCCAUCCUUUAAAGAAAGCGUAAUAGCUCACUGGUCUAGUGAUUUUGCGCGGAAAAUAUAACGGGGCUAAAGUAAGUACCGAAGCUGUAGACUUGCGCACAACUUAGAUUAUUUAAGUUUAGAAUAUGAGAAACUAAGUUAUAUGUUUAGUUAUAUUUUUACUGAUUUUUAUAGAGUAAAGAUAGAAAUAAAACUUAGUAAAAUCAGUAAAAAUAUUCUUAGAUUAAAGUUAAGUAGUUUAAGUUGUGUGCAAGUGGUAGGAGAGCGUUCUAUUUGCGUCGAAGGUAUACCGGUAAGGAGUGCUGGAGCGAAUAGAAGUGAGCAUGCAGGCAUGAGUAGCGAUAAUUAAUGUGAGAAUCAUUAACGCCGUAAACCCAAGGUUUCCUACGCGAUGCUCGUCAUCGUAGGGUUAGUCGGGUCCUAAGUCGAGUCCGAAAGGGGUAGACGAUGGCAAAUUGGUUAAUAUUCCAAUACCAACAUUAGUGUGCGAUGGAAGGACGCUUAGGGCUAAGCAAGCUAGCGGAUGGAAGUGCUAGUCUAAGGAUGUAGGAGCUUAUACAGGCAAAUCCGUAUAAGAAUACUCCGAGAUCUUAAAGGCUCUUUGAAGUCUUCGGAUGGAUAGGAGAAUUGCUGAUGCCGUCGAGCCAAGAAAAGUUUCUAAGUUUAGCUAAUGUUGCCCGUACCGUAAACCGACACAGGUGGGUGGGAUGAGUAUUCUAAGGCGCGUGGAAGAACUCUCUUUAAGGAACUCUGCAAAAUAGCACCGUAUCUUCGGUAUAAGGUGUGGUUCGCUUCGUAUUAGGAUUUACUCCGAAAGCGAAGAAACUUACAACAAAGAGUCCCUCCCGACUGUUUACCAAAAACACAGCACUCUGCUAACUCGUAAGAGGAUGUAUAGGGUGUGACGCCUGCCCGGUGCUCGAAGGUUAAUUGAUGGGGUUAGCAUUAGCGAAGCUCUUGAUCGAAGCCCGAGUAAACGGCGGCCGUAACUAUAACGGUCCUAAGGUAGCGAAAUUCCUUGUCGGUUAAAUACCGACCUGCAUGAAUGGCGUAACGAGAUGGGAGCUGUCUCAAAGAGGGAUCCAGUGAAAUUGUAGUGGAGGUGAAAAUUCCUCCUACCCGCGGCAAGACGGAAAGACCCCGUGGACCUUUACUACAGCUUGACACUGCUAUUUGGAUAAGAAUGUGCAGGAUAGGUGGGAGGCUUUGAGUAUAUGACGCCAGUUGUAUAUGAGCCAUUGUUGAGAUACCACUCUUUCUUAUUUGGGUAGCUAACCAGCUUGAGUUAUCCUCAAGUGGGACAAUGUCUGGUGGGUAGUUUGACUGGGGCGGUCGCCUCCCAAAUAAUAACGGAGGCUUACAAAGGUUGGCUCAGAACGGUUGGAAAUCGUUCGUAGAGUAUAAAGGUAUAAGCCAGCUUAACUGCAAGACAUACAAGUCAAGCAGAGACGAAAGUCGGUCUUAGUGAUCCGGUGGUUCUGUGUGGAAGGGCCAUCGCUCAAAGGAUAAAAGGUACCCCGGGGAUAACAGGCUGAUCUCCCCCAAGAGCUCACAUCGACGGGGAGGUUUGGCACCUCGAUGUCGGCUCAUCGCAUCCUGGGGCUGGAGCAGGUCCCAAGGGUAUGGCUGUUCGCCAUUUAAAGCGGUACGCGAGCUGGGUUCAGAACGUCGUGAGACAGUUCGGUCCCUAUCUGCCGUGGGCGUAAGAAGAUUGAAGAGAUUUGACCCUAGUACGAGAGGACCGGGUUGAACAAACCACUGGUGUAGCUGUUGUUCUGCCAAGAGCAUCGCAGCGUAGCUAAGUUUGGAACGGAUAAACGCUGAAAGCAUCUAAGCGUGAAGCCAACUCUAAGAUGAAUCUUCUCUAAGCUCUCUAGAAGACUACUAGUUUGAUAGGCUGGGUGUGUAAUGGAUGAAAGUCCUUUAGCUGACCAGUACUAAUAGAGCGUUUGGCUUAUCUUUUUU
rnacentral:rRNA from 1 species